AUCGAGCGAGAUCACACGCGGUCACGCCACUCUUCCCGUCAAGCCACAGCUCCCCUACGGAUCGUAGCGCCCAACACGACACGAGAGAGAGAGGCAGGCAUGCACAGAUCUAGAGGGACGGAGAAAUGGACAAGCGGUGGCGGUGGAGGGAGAGGGGAGGGCAACGGCAACGGCAAACAUGCCAUGCCUGCGGCUGCAGCGUGCAGGCGGCAGGGGAUGGCGAUGGAGCUACGAUACACCACGCUGCACUGCAGUGCAUUCAAGCCCAGGACACGCACAGUGCCCUCCGUCCCUGCCCUGCCCUGCCCUGUCUACGAUCUAUCUAUCGCCUAUAGUGGCCAGGAUCAAUCGGAUCGUACGUCACCAGUAGCGUAGUAGUACGUUCGUCGUUACACCUGCUGGCGCUCGAGGCAUGUCGGAGCGUGAGCUAGAGUCGCCUAGCCCUAGCUCCGUCGCCAUCGCUCCAUCGGCCUCCUAGUGAUCUGAUCCACGGAUCCUUCAAUGCGGCCCAUAAAUGCCCCAACCUCCCCUUUGUUUCUCCGGUUGGUUGGCGAAUUCAUUGCAUGCCCCCGCGAGAGCGCGUGCUGCCAAUUCCUUGUAUAUGUACCCACGCCAUGCCAUGCCAUGGGCGCCGCAUACCACCAACGCGCUUUGCACCCCCAACCGGCCUCCCUCCUCGUCCUCUUCUUCUCUCUACGCCUCUCUUUCCCGCACUGCCUCCAUGAAGGGAAAGCCGGCCUCUUCCUCAUUCUCUCCGGCCACUCUCUUCCCCCAUCUCCUUCCGGCCGGCGGCGCGCGUGAAACAAACAAAUCGGUGCUUUCCCUCCAGGUCGAUCGUCGUCAACCAUGCUUUUCUGUGUGUCAAUUCUUGGGUAAAUCCUGCGAACCUGUAGUGAACCUGGUCAGGUUUCGCUCACUAUAGCAACUGGCUCCUGAGGAACAGCACAAUUAAAGACUAUUUAGUGGUACUUAGUUAAGAUCGAAGGACCAAAAGAUCCUAGUACAGAUGCAGACUACAGAUACAGACAGUGCCAAGCUAUACCCACUGUGUCUGAAAACAUGGAAAUGAAGUGGCCAUUAAGGAACACCAGUCCACCCACAUUCAGUUGAGUCUUUAAUUACCUAUAAUGGCCUUAGUUGGAAACACUGUGUUAAUUACAGUAGUUGGAAACACUGUGUUCUGUAAAAUUGCCUUCUCUUGUAUGUGAAACCAGCUUUCAUGUCUCUCCUUCAGUUUCCUGGCUUUAUUUGUAAGAGAAUCCAGCUGCUCAGUACUCUAAUUUGGCUGUGUAGUGAUGAGUGGGCAAUGCAAAGACGACUAUACGCGUACUACUCCAGCUGAUGAAUUAGAUGGUUCUUGGUUGUCUUUGCCCGGUACUACAGUAGUAGUAGAUUAACGCUCAUUACUUACUGCUGUCUAUAUAUUUCCGGAUUCUGGGGACCAAGGCAGGGGGAUGUGGUGGUCAAGACUUUAUUAAGAGUAUACAGGCAAGUACAUUACAGGGUAUUUCCAUAUAGCAUGCGGAUUCUGGCGAUCAUUUGAUGAUUUGAAUGAAAGCUUCCUCACGCUGCCACAGGUAUCCGAUGCAUGUUUUUGCAGAACAAUCAAUGCAUGAACCGAGAAAUUAUUUGGAGUAGGUAGAAAAUGGUCUAUAAAAAGGAAUUAGUCAGAGGAGCAGCUAGCAAAACGUCGUUGUGAUUCGUACGAAACUAGUUGCAAGAGCAUUGCACCUGUAAAAACAUCCCUCUGAAUUCUAAACAAGUUGUACAAUACGUAUCACACUGGCCUGUGGAUAUUAAUUGUAAUCGUUCUUGUAUUUCCUAUUACUUGUAGCCUACUAAUUCUUGGGAAAAAGAACGCGUAUGUGAGAAUACUACCACACAUGUUUAGGGAA